rnacentral:ncRNA from 14 species
CAUGUAGCUCAGGGGUAGAGCACACCCUUGGUAAGGGUGAGGUCGACGGUUCAAUUCCGUCCAUG